rnacentral:rRNA from 1 species
CACGCCGUAAACGAUGGAUACUAGCUGUCCGGGGCUUUAAGUCCUGGGCGGCCAAGCGAAAGUGAUAAGUAUCCCACCUGGGGAGUACGUUCGCAAGAAUGAAACUCAAAGGAAUUGACGGGGGCCCGCACAAGCGGUGGAGCAUGUGGUUUAAUUCGAUGAUACGCGAGGAACCUUACCAGGGCUUAAAUGCAUUUUGACAGGGGUAGAGAUACCUUUUCCUUCGGGCAAUUUGCAAG